UACGGAAGGUGCAAGCGUUAAUCGGAAUUACUGGGCGUAAAGCGCGCGUAGGUGGCUUAGUAAGUCAGAUGUGAAAGCCCCGGGCUUAACCUGGGAAUUGCAUUUGAUACUGCUCGGCUAGAGUAUGGGAGAGGGAAGUGGAAUUCCGGGUGUAGCGGUGAAAUGCGUAGAUAUCCGGAGGAACACCAGUGGCGAAGGCGGCUUCCUGGCCAAAGACUGACGCUCAUGUGCGAAAGUGUGGGUAGCGAACAGG
rnacentral:rRNA from 1 species